UUGCGGCACCGUGGCGAUUUGUCACCCGAUUGCGGGCCACGUUAAUCACACCGCUAAAGAGGUCUGGGCCAGCCCCCG
rnacentral:ncRNA from 1 species